UGGGUCCAGUGGACCCGAACACCUUGUAUGUAAUGUAAAUGCGUGGGGGGAGGUACAGUAUGAUGUCAUUGAAAAUUAGUUCGGAUUUAUGUUCUUCACAGAAAAUAAGCCAAAGCCAAUGAAUUUCAGGUUGAAAAAAUAAUUAAUUGUUUAAUUUUUCUUUUGA